rnacentral:rRNA from 1 species
AGCAGCCGCCGCGGUAAUACGGAGGAUCCAAGCGUUAUCCGGAAUCAUUGGGUUUAAAGGGUCCGUAGGCGGUCUUGUAAGUCAGUGGUGAAAGCCCAUCGCUCAACGGUGGAACGGCCAUUGAUACUGCAGGACUUGAAUUAUUGGGAAGUAACUAGAAUAUGUAGUGUAGCGGUGAAAUGCUUAGAGAUUACAUGGAAUACCAAUUGCGAAGGCAGGUUACUACCAAUUGAUUGACGCUGAUGGACGAAAGCGUGGGUAGCGAACAGGAUUAGAUACCCCAGUAGUCCCUGUCUCUUAUAC